rnacentral:other from 1 species
UCUCCCCUGUGAUGUUUGACAGCCAUUCGUUUUAAACCCACAUUUUGUUUUCGGGAUUCCGAAUACUUUCCCGUUCCAAGUGCAGGCCUCCCGUGAAUCAAAAACGGAAGUUGGAAGCACAGCGGUGCGAGAUAGGAAACCCACCUGCUCAGUCGUGCAGGUUAUUUUAAUGGGUGGCAUCGGCAUUGCGGGGGUUAC